rnacentral:rRNA from 1 species
CGCGUAGGCUGUUGAGUUAGUUAAUUGUGAAAUCCCAAAGCUUAACUUUGGAACUGCAAUUAAAACUGCUCGACUAGAGUUUGAUAGAGGAAAGCGGAAUACAUAGUGUAGAGGUGAAAUUCGUAGAUAUUAUGUAGAACACCAGUUGCGAAGGCGGCUUUCUGGAUCAACACUGACGCUGAGGCGCGAAAGUAUGGGUAGCAAAGA